ensembl:lncRNA
GAGGACUGCGACCCAAUGACUCUACGGGUGCUCCAGUUUUCGCCUUCACCUUGGACCCAUCUCCUGGCUUCCAGUGCAGACUCUUCAGCCUCCAGCUCAGAUCCUUCAGCCUCCUGAUAUGGACAUGCAUGGAACUCUACAGUGACCUCCAAGCUUUUGUCCUUUGACUAAAUCCUUUAGUCUUAUAACAAACCAAAGGCUAAAAGAUCUUCAUCAUGCUAACCAACCUCAAGGACUGCAACAUAAACUGUUAGAUAAUGAGAUUCUGGAAUUUGUGAAGAUGCUACAACAGGAAGUGACUCUAAGGGAUCUUUGGUGGUGGUGAGCACAUUUUGCACAAGGGAAGAACGUGAAUCAUUGGGGGCCAGAAGGUGGACUGUUGGAGGCUGACUGUAGGUGCUCCAUGAGUCCCGUCUCUUAGUAUUUAUGCUUGUAUUUAGCCUCAUUGCCAUCUCACUGAGGAACACUUGAAAUGCCUGCCAUAUUAGGUGACCUGGAUGGUGUUAUUCAUAUCCAGCUUCCUUAAAUUUGAGGCAAUUGCUGUCUUUUGAAAAAUCAUGUUACACCAAGCAGGAAACUCUAACAUUGUUCUCAUCCUUAGCUGUCUUUCUACCACAUACAUUCCUCCAGAAGGAAAACAUCUACUUUAUAUGCAAUAGCCUCCUUAUGUUGAUAAUUCCAAGACCUGGAGGUCUAUCAAUCUAAACUAUACGCUUGUAUCUGGAUGCUCCCAUUUGAAUGGUCCACAGGCCCAGAAUGUCUAAAGUUAAACUUAUCUUCCCUUAUGUCACAGCCCCUCCCCUCAGUAAAUGGCAUAAUCAUUGCCUCAGUUACAGAAACCUAUGAAUCAUCCCUGGGCCUUGCCUGUCCCUCACUAUCUAGUCAGUCAUUAACUCUACUUGGUUAUCAAAUUUAUAUUUCCUGUCCUUGAGUCCCUCAAAAUGUCUCUACUGAAUGGCCGAAACAACUCUACAACUGACCUUGCUGUGUCCAGACUGACCCUCCAUCUUUCAGAAUGAUCA